CCUACGGGAGGCAGCAGUGAGGAAUAUUGGUCAAUGGACGAGAGUCUGAACCAGCCAAGUAGCGUGAAGGAUGACUGCCCUAUGGGUUGUAAACUUCUUUUAUAUGGGAAUAAAAUGUUCCACGUGUGGGAUUUUGUAUGUACCAUAUGAAUAAGGAUCGGCUAACUCCGUGCCAGCAGCCGCGGUAAUACGGAGGAUCCGAGCGUUAUCCGGAUUUAUUGGGUUUAAAGGGAGCGUAGGUGGAUUGUUAGGUCAGUUGUGAAAGUUUGCGGCUCAACCGUAAAAUUGCAGUUGAAACUGGCAGUCUUGAGUACAGUAGAGGUGGGCGGAAUUCGUGGUGUAGCGGUGAAAUGCUUAGAUAUCACGAAGAACUCCGAUUGCGAAGGCAGUUCACUGGACUGCAACUGACACUGAGGCUCGAAAGUGUGGGUAUCAAACAGGAUUAGAUACCCCUGUAGUC
rnacentral:rRNA from 1 species